GAUCCUGGCUCAGGACGAACCCUGGCGGCGUGCCUAAUACAUGCAAGUAGAACGCACAGUUUAUACCGUAGCUUGCUACACCAUAGACUGUGAGUUGCGAACGGGUGAGUAACGCGUAGGUAACCUGCCUGGUAGCGGGGGAUAACUAUUGGAAACGAUAGCUAAUACCGCAUAAUAUUAAUUAUUGCAUGAUAAUUGAUUGAAAGGUGCAAAUGCAUCACUACCAGAUGG
rnacentral:rRNA from 1 species